GUCUUUUUGAAAUAAAUUUAAAGUCUAACCUGCCCACUGAAAUUUUAAAUGGCCGCAGUAUUCUAACUGUGCAAAGGUAGCAUAAUCAUUAGUCUUUUAAUUGAAGGCUGGAAUGAAUGGUUGGACGAAAUAUUAACUGUUUCAUUUAAAUUUUUUAUAGAAUUUUAUUUUUUAGUCAAAAAGCUAAAAUUUUUUUAAAAGACGAGAAGACCCUAUAAAUCUUUAUAUUUUGUUUAUUUUAAUUAUAAAGAUUAUUUUUGUUAUAAUAAUUAAAAAUAUUUUAUUGGGGUGAUAUUAAAAUUUAAAAAACUUUUAAUUUUAAAAUUCAUUAAUUUAUGUUUAAUUGAUCCAUUAAUAAUGAUUAAAAAUUUAAGUUACUUUAGGGAUAACAGCGUAAUUUUUUUGGAGAGUUCAUAUCGAUAAAAAAGAUUGCGACCUCGAUGUUGGAUUAAGAUAUAAUUUUGGGUGUAGCCGUUCAAAUUUUAAGUCUGUUCGACUUUUAAAUUCUU
rnacentral:rRNA from 1 species